rnacentral:sRNA from 1 species
GCGCCGCCUGCAUAUCUCAAGACCAGAAUUCAGCGGGUUUGAACUUCAACUGCACGUAUCCUCGCAUUUUCAUGUCCAAUUUUUGAUCCACCCUGAUGUCCUCAGUAUUUCUAUCAUCUCAGGUUUAUUUUAAAAG